UACGGAGGGUGCAAGCGUUGUUCGGAAUUAUUGGGCGUAAAGCGCGUGUAGGCGGUUCGUUAAGUCUGAUGUGAAAGCCCUGGGCUUAACCUGGGAAGUGCAUUGGAAACUGGCGAACUUGAGUAUGGGAGAGGAAAGUGGAAUUCCCGGUGUAGAGGUGAAAUUCGUAGAUAUCGGGAGGAAUACCGGUGGCGAAGGCGACUUUCUGGACGAAUACUGACGCUGAGGCGCGAAAGCGUGGGGAGCAAACAGGAUUAGAUACCCCUGUAGU
rnacentral:rRNA from 1 species